GCCGGUUUAGCUUAGUGGUAGAGCGCCAGUCUUGUAAACUGGAGGUCGGCGGUUCAAUCCCGCCAUCCGGCU
rfam:Perkinsus marinus ATCC 50983 gcontig_1104296225364, whole genome shotgun sequence.